rnacentral:rRNA from 1 species
CGAACGGGUGAGUACACGUGGGUGAUCUGCCCUGCACUUUGGGAUAAGCCUGGGAAACUGGGUCUAAUACCGAAUAGGACCACGCGCUUCAUGGUGUGUGGUGGAAAGCUUUNGNNNUGUGGGAUGGGCCCGCGGCCUAUCAGCUUGUUGGUGGGGUAAUGGCCUACCAAGGCGACGACGGGUAGCCGGCCUGAGAGGGUGACCGGCCACACUGGGACUGAGAUACGGCCCAGACUCCUACGGGAGGCAGCAGUGGGGAAUAUUGCACAAUGGGCGCAAGCCUGAUGCAGCGACGCCGCGUGAGGGAUGACGGCCUUCGGGUUGUAAACCUCUUUCAAUAGGGACGAAGCGCAAGUGACGGUACCUAUAGAAGAAGCACCGGCCAACUACGUGCCAGCAGCCGCGGUAAUACGUAGGGUGCGAGCGUUGUCCGGAAUUACUGGGCGUAAAGAGCUCGUAGGUGGUUUGUCGCGUUGUUCGUGAAAACUCACAGCUUAACUGUGGGCGUGCGGGCGAUACGGGCAGACUAGAGUACUGCAGGGGAGACUGGAAUUCCUGGUGUAGCGGUGGAAUGCGCAGAUAUCAGGAGGAACACCGGUGGCGAAGGCGGGUCUCUGGGCAGUAACUGACGCUGAGGAGCGAAAGCGUGGGGAGCGAACAGGAUUAGAUACCCUGGUAGUCCACGCCGUANACGGUGGGUACUAGGUGUGGGUUCCUUCCUUGGGAUCCGUGCCGCAGCUAACGCAUUAAGUACCCCGCCUGGNGAGUACGGCCGCAAGGCUAAAACUCAANNNAAUUGACGGGGGCCCGCACAAGCGGC